GACCCCGCACAAGCGGCGGAGCAUGCGGCUUAAUUCGAUGAUACGCGAGGAACCUUACCAGGACUUAAAUGUAAGUUGCAUGAUUCAGAAAUGAAUCUUUCUUCGGACUACUUACAAGGUGCUGCAUGGUUGUCGUCAGCUCGUGCCGUGAGGUGUCAGGUUAAGUCCUAUAACGAGCGCAACCCCUAUCGUUAGUUGCCAUCAAGUAAAGUUGGGAACUCUAGCGAAACUGCCGGUGCAAACCGUGAGGAAGGUGGGGAUGACGUCAAAUCAUCACGGCCCUUACGUUCUGGGCUACACACGUGCUACAAUGGCCGGUACAGAAAGCAGCCACUAUGCGAAUAGGAGCUAAUCUUUAAAACCGGUCUCAGUUCGGAUCGCAGUCUGCAACUCGACUGCGUGAAGCUGGAAUCGCUAGUAA
rnacentral:rRNA from 1 species